AUUAUGUCAGGGAGUGUGAGCUCAGGAGUCUGAGAAACCUCUGUGGUUGAUCCACAGGGUUUGGAGAAGGUGCUCCAGGCAGAAAGUUCAGUGAAUGCUGAGAGUUGAUUGGUCUCUGGACAACUGGGAGCAGCUCUGGACUAUCCACCACCACGGAGCCCCCUGAGGUCAAGAGCCAGGAUGAGAACAAAGACACUCCUUGGUGCUGAUAACGACUUUUUGUGGUUGAAACUGGAUCCUUGAUGUGCAGUUGUUUUAUGUGGCUCCAUCUCCUCCUGUUAUCAGCUGGGAGCAAGUGCUGGAGUUUCUCUCCUGGUGGAUGGAGGCUGACUCCAGAUGGGGCUCACUCCCACUUGUACAGAGGGCUACAAAAGCUUCUCCAGCAGUCUGACGCGGCCAAAGGCAUCUGCUGACUCAGGCCCAGCAUCUCUGGCAAUUUGGGGGAGUUCUGUGUCUCCAGCCAAGUAUCGAGAAGAGACAGAGGGUCAUUCACUGGUGAAAGAGGCACUGGGAAGUACUGAGGUCAGCUACCAAACCAGAGUGAAAUUCCAGCUUUAGUGCAGUAUGAAAUCAGAAAACUCUUCAACGGAGAGGUGUUCCUGCAUCUCUGGAUUUCCAGGUUUCAUAUCCUGGAUACUUUAUGGUGUGUGCAAAGAGCAAACAACAGCACCAGCUGAGGUUUACCUUGCAGGGGGAAGUGCAUAGUCAGAGCCAAGGUAGAGUGAGUGAGAGCAACGUGACUUUUACAAAUCCACUCAUUUUUGCAUUCUCAGAGGUUUGGUUUGGGAUCAUUCCUGUUCGUCCCAUGCCCCUCCUGUAGAGACACUCAGAUAGGAGAGCUUUUGCACCAUCUGGAGGAAGGAGCUAUUUGGUUUAUACAUCCAGAUUCUCUUCUGUGCAGAUGAGCUCAGUGCAGGGGUGCUGACCAUGGCAAAUCCAAUACCCACCUCUUUGUGCCACGUUUGCACCAACCCCAUUAGAGCUGAUCCAUGUCUGGAGAGAAAGUCACCCAAAGCAACUUAAGCCAGUCCAGGCCAAUUAAGAGUCACUGGAGAGCUGGUUCCCCUCAGUCCAGACUUUGGAAAGAUGGCUGGGGUUGAUUAGGAAUUUUUGGUAACCAGAGGGCAAAAUUUUUUAUCACAACAUUUAAGUCUCUUUCCUUUCUACUCCCACUUUUGAAUAAUUCACAGUUGAAAACUCAUUUCACUUGGUCUUUCAAACAUGAAAGUUGGCCUUUGAUCUAGAACUAAGCACAGAAAGCUUUGACCCGAGAGGAAUGUAUUUAUUGAAGCUAGAAACAAUAGAAACAAGGGUUUAAACUGAGUACCAACCCUGCAUUUUCAGAGGCUACUGCCUGAGUUUGCUGAGGUUGUGUAUAACACUUCAGCCAAUGGAUAAAAUAUAAAAUAUUGUAUUUAUUGGAGCUAUUUCUUCUGUGCAGUUCUUCACCAAAUCAAGACUUAGGUAUUCCAACAGUUUUACGUUAUUAACACAUUUUGAGCCCCUUUUCUCCCCUUGCCAGGGGGAGUUCUGUACCUGGUAGAGAAGUGUCCCAGGACACAGAGAGCCAAGGACUGAAACCGAGAAACUUUCCAGCCCCUGCAUUCUAUCAUUAGUACCUGAGAGCUCUUCCCCAGGAGACAGGGGUUCCUAUACAGAAGAAAGCUUCAAGGGAAAUGUUUGAGACAGAUCAUCAUUAAAUCCACUGUGAUUCAGUGCUGUGAAUGUACAAAUUCAAUGUGGCUCAACCACUCUUUCAUUCCAGAGCCCCAGUCAGGUUACUUUACUUCUGGGUUCCUUCCAGCAUUGAAAAGAAACCAAGGGACAUUUUCAACCUUCAGAGAAGGAUAUGAAACUGUACCAAGUUUUUUCCAAUACUGCCCUAGUAAUUCUUACAUCUUCAGAUGCCUAAAGGAGAUCUGUACCUUUGGUGUCAUCCUAUAAAGACACUACUGUCGGAGAUUGCAAC